rnacentral:lncRNA from 1 species
CAACACAACCUAAACCAACGUGAUCCACACACACACACACACACACACACACACACACACACACACACACACACACACACACACUCACAGACAUAUACCCAAUCACACACACUCACAGACAUAUACCCAACACAACCUAAACCAACGUGAUCCAAGUCCAACCGGCUAUGGAACUCUUUAGACACAUGCAUGAGACUCUAUUGCAUAUACAGAUUACAUAUAUCAGAUAUACAUGCACAGACAUAUACAUGCACAGGCAUAUACCAAAUCACACUCACAGACAUAUACCCAAUCACACUCACAGACAUAUACCCGAUCACACACACUCACAGGCAUAUACCCAAUCACACACACUCACAGACAUAUACCCAAUCACACUCACACACAGGCAUAUACCCAAUCACACUCACACACAGACAUAUACCCAAUCACACACACACACACUCACAGGCAUAUACCCAAUCACACACACUCACAGACAUAUACCCAAUCACAGACACUCACAGGCAUAUACCCAAUCACACCCACACACAGACAUAUACCCAAUCACACACACUCACAGACAUAUACCCAAUCACACUCACAGACAUAUACCCAAUCACACACACUCACAGGCAUAUACCCAAUCACACACACACUCACAGACAUAUACCCAAUCACACUCACACACACUCACAGGCAUAUACCCAAUCACACACACACUCACAGACAUAUACCCAAUCACACUCACAGACAUAUACCCAAUCACACACACACUCACAGACAUAUACCCAAUCACACUCACACACACUCACAGGCAUAUACCCAAUCACACCCACUCACAGACAUAUACCCAAUCACACACACUCACAGACAUAUACCCAAUCACACUCACAGACAUAUACCCAAUCACACGCACUCACACUCACACACAUAUACCCAAUCACACCCAUUCACAGACAUAUACCCAAUCACACACACAGGCAUAUACCCAAUCACACCCACUCACAGACAUAUACCCAAUCACUCACACUCACAGGCAUAUACCCAAUCACACUCACACACACUCACACACAUAUACCCAAUCACACACACAGGCAUAUACCCAAUCACACACACUCACAGACAUAUACCCAAUCACACCCACACACAGACAUAUACCCAAUCACACCCACACACAGACAUAUA